rnacentral:lncRNA from 10 species
CCAUAUGUGGGCAUUACAAAUAGAAAUUUUUAAAAUUCCAUUUAUAAAAUGAAGUUUUGCCGUUUUUUUUUUUAAAUCAUUCCGUCUUUAGUUGUGGGACAGCAAACUUAGAAUCGAAACUCAUCACUACAACUUUUCUUUGAGUUAAACUCUUAUCUGUGUUUUCAUUGAAUUUAAUCUCCAUCUAUUCUAUCUCUUCUUAAAUCUUGGAAAUGUAAAAGGGAGUUAUAGUGUUUUACAAUUAAUACUCUUACUAUUACCUUAGAAGCCUUAAAAGUGCUUGCAGGCUUGUCUCAUAAUCUGUCAGUGAGCCUUAACAUUGUGAUUUGUAAGACUAAAAUUUUUUUUUCAAACAAAACAAAUCUGACAGCCUGGGCAACAUAGACCCCAUCUCUACAAAAAAAAAUUUUUUUUUAAUUAGCUGGGCAUGGUGGUGCACGUCUGUACCUGUAGUCCCAGCUAUUCAGAAGGAUUGCUUGAUCCCAGGAGAUCAAGGAUACAGUGAACUGUGUUCGCGCCACUGCACCCCCACGAUGGCAAUAGAGUGAGACCCUGUCUUAGAAAAAAAAGAUAAAUAAGUCUGUUCUAUUUGUUACAGUGCAUCAACACAUUUGAAUUUUCUUUUUUUUUCUUUUUCUUUUUUUUUUUUGAGACUGAGUUUCGCUCUUGUUGCCCAGGCUGGCGUACAGUGGUGCGAUCUUGGCUCACCCCAACCUCUGCCUCCCAGGUUCAAGCAAUUCUUCUGCCUCAGCCUCCUGAAUAGCUGGGAUUACAAGCAUGCACCACCACGCCUGGCUAAUUUUGUAUUUUUUGGUAGAGAUGAGGUUUCUCCAUGUUGGUUAGGCUGGUUUCGAACUCCCGACCCAGGUGAUCCGCCUGCGUCAGCCUCCCAAAGUGCUGGGAUUACAGGUGUGAGCCACCGCACCCAGCCUAAUCAAUACAUUUGAUAUUUCAAGAAUACAUGAGAGAAGAGAGGUAGAUUGAGAACAGAACUAAACUUUAUAUAUGUUUCCUUAACUAUUGGGAGGAAAAUGGAUGAGUCUGUGUUGGGAUACCUGUUGAAACAAGACUACUAAACAGAUUAAUCAACUAAUUCCAUAGGCUUGACAUUAGUUUAUCUUUGAAAAGUAAAAGUAAAGUGCUUAUUGCUAAAUAGGUCUGUAUUCUAAAUGCUGCCAUUUUUUAAAAAAAGUAUUCCAUGUUACACACAUUUUAAACUUGCUUCUUAAAACAUCCCUGUUGGUGGCCUGUAGGUUACUGACCUUAGGAAUUACAGGCUUUAUCCAAAAUUAGGCAUAUCUACCUGAUUUUUGUAUCUGAGAAUCAAUAAAUGCAUUCAGUAUUCUCUACCGUGUUUCAGGCGCUGUUUACAAUAUCGGAGGUACAGCAGGGAUUUUCUGCCCACGUGGGGAAAACACACAGCAAAUGAACAAAGCUCUAUUGGUAACAGUCUGUUAAACUUUCUAAGAGCUUUCCAACUUUCUAAGAGAAAAUUGUAAUGAUUUUAGAAAAGUGAGCUGUCAUUUUUCAUAUAUAUAAAUUUUUUUAUUCAUAGGUAAUCUAAUUUUUCUCAUUUCUCCAAAAGGGUACGAAGACAGUUUUUACUAUGUUGUUUUACUAUGAACCUAGUUUAACCUGACUUUCCUUACAGACCCACAUAAAUGAGACAAUCCAAAUUUAGUAUUUGGGUCAAAAUGCAGGGUUUUUUCCUGAAAACAAAACAGCACACACAUAUAUUACAGGAUUUUUAUGUAAUAAUAUAUUCACUUCAGUCAGGUUUCAGUUUUUAAAUAGGCAGAGAUCAAAAGCCUCUAAUGUUUUUGUCAUCCGCCAUUAUUACCCAUUCAAAUUUCUAUUUAUGUCUGGUAGUUAUGUCCCCUGUGAGCACUAAUUUCAGAACAGGAAAUUCUAUUAACUGUCAAACUCUUUAAUGUGCAGUGCAGUAGGUUUGGAGCAGAGGGGAGUAGGAAGGAGUAAAUGAUAUAAUCCAGUCUGGCCUGGCAUGGUGGCUCACACUUGUAAUCCCAAUGCUUUGGGAGGCCGAGAUGGGUGGAUCACUGGAAGCCAGGAGUUUGAGACAAGCCUGGCCAACAUGGUGAAACCCCGUCUCUACUAAAAAUAACAAAAAUUAGACGGGCACGGUGGUGUGUGCCUGUAAUCCCAGCUACUCAGGAGGCUGAGGCAGGAGAAUCACUUGAACCUGGGAGGCCGAGGUUGCAGUGAGCUGAGAUCACACCACUGCACUUCAGCAUGGGCAACAGAGUGAGACUGCAAAAAAAAGAAAAAGAAAAAAAAAUCCAGUCUCUGCUGGCAAGGUGUUUAACAAGUCAAUGAUGGGAAAGACCAGUCAAAUAAACUAUCAGAUCUAAUAACUUUUCUAACCAUAGAAUCGGAUGGGUAUGGUACAGCAGGUAGUUAUGGGGAGACCUCUACUGUUCUAAAUGAGACUAAUAGUAAAUGUUACAUAACUAAAGCAACAGAUUUGCCAGCUGUGUGAAAGAUAACCCAGAGAGGGGUAAUGGUAGAGCCAGAAUUAACACAGCCAGCUUGUCAGCUACCUUUGAACAUGUAUUUUCUGUGCAGUCAGAUUUGAAGGGUUGGACCUUGGAGUUACUGACAUUGGAGGCAACUGAAACCAUGAGUGUGAAUGAAAUUAUUUUCGUAAGAAUUACUUGGGGUUAAAAAUAGUAAUAAAAAGGAAAGCCUGGCCUAAACAGUCUUGGGAUGGGGAGAAGGGUUGGAGUACAAAGGAUUGCUAUUACAAAGACAUGGGCAGAGAACAAGGCAAAUAGCUGAGCAGCAAUUGAGAAUACAGCAUCUUUUAUGGCAAAGAGCAAAAUACUAUUGUUCCUCUUCUAGUAUGCUAUAGACCAGCAGUAAUUUUGUGCUCUAAAAUGCUUAUUUUUAUCUCUCUGUAUAUACUUGGUGGUGAAUUUGCUACAAAUGUAAGGAGAUGAUGGGAUAGUUUUUGGAAAUACCAUCCUCUAAUUAGUACCAGGUCUAUGUAUAUCUGCAGCAACUAUAAAGUCUGUUUCAGAGUCAGUAUUGGCAAACUUAUAUUUAAAUUCAGCUGUAACA